rnacentral:rRNA from 1 species
UACAGAGGUCUCAAGCGUUGUUCGGAUUCAUUGGGCGUAAAGGGUGCGUAGGUGGCGCGGUAAGUCGGGUGUGAAAUCUCGGAGCUUAACUCCGAAAUUGCAUUCGAUACUGCCGUGCUCGAGGACUGGAGAGGAGACUGGAAUUCAUGGUGUAGCAGUGAAAUGCGUAGAGAUCAUGAGGAAGACCAGUGGCGAAGGCGGGUCUCUGGACAGUUCCUGACACUGAGGAGCGAAAGCGUGGGGAGCGAACAGG